rnacentral:rRNA from 1 species
CUCAGGAUAAACGCUGGCGGCGUGCCUAACACAUGCAAGUCGAACGCUCUGCUCGCAAGGGCAGGGNAGUGGCGGACGGGUGAGUAAGACGUGGGUCAUCUGCCUUUCGGAGAGGAAUACCGGCGAGAAAUCGCCGACAAAACCGCAUACGUUCGGGUUUCCCCGAAGAAAAUCGUGAGAUGCCGAAAGAUGAGCCUGCGGCCGAUUAGCUAGCUGGGGGGGUAACGGCCCACCAGGGCGACGAUCGGUAGCUGGUCUGAGAGGACGAUCAGCCACACUGGGAUUGAGAACGGCCCAGACUCCUACGGGGGGCAGCAGUGAGGAAUAUUCGUCAAUGGGCGCAAGCCUGAACGAGCAACGCCGCGUGCAGGAAGAAGGUUUUCGGAUCGUAAACUGCUUUUCUGUGGGAAGAGAACGGACGGUACCACAGGAAGAAGCCUCGGCUAACUACGUGCCAGCAGCCGCGGUAAUACGUAGGAGGCAAGCGUUGUCCGGAGUUACUGGGCGUAAAGAGCGCGUAGGCGGUUGGGAAAGUUUGCCGUGACAGUGCGCGGCUUAACCGAGCAAGGCCGGACAAAAACUGCCCAACUUGAGUGCCAGAGAGGGACAUAGAAUUCCGGGUGGAGUGGUGAAAUGCGUAGAUAUCCGGAGGAAUACCAAAGGCGAAGGCAGUGUCCUGGAUGGCAACUGACGCUGA